rnacentral:rRNA from 1 species
UAGGGAAUCUUCGGCAAUGGACGAAAGUCCGACCGAGCAACGCCGCGCGAGUGAAGAAGGUUCUCGGAUCGUAAAACUCUGUUGUUAGAGAAGAACAAGGACGUUAGUAACUGAACGUCCCCUGACGGUAUCUAACCAGAAAGCCACGGCUAACUACGUGCCAGCAGCCGCGGUAAUACGUAGGUGGCAAGCGUUGUCCGGAUUUAUUGGGCGUAAAGCGAGCGCGGGCGGUUUCUUAGGUGUGAUGAGAAAGCCCGCGGCUCAACCGGGGAGGGUGAUUGGAAACUGGGAGACUUGAGUGCGGGAGAGGAGAGUGGAAUUCCGUGUGGAGCGGUGAAAUGCGUAGAUAGAUGGGGGAACACCAGUGGCGAAGGCGGCUCUCUGGUCUGUAACUGACGCUGAGGCGCGAAAGCGUGGGGAGCAAACGGG